CAUCAGGCUGGAUGUCUCAUGAAAUCAUGGUGGACGGCAGCUGGGCUGAGCUGGAAGGCCAUUCACACAGCAAGUGUUCAGCCUCCAACAUGGCCUCCCUCACUGCAUGUGCCGCCUCUUCAUUCAGUCUUUUACCUUGAGCUUCUUCAUCACAUGCACCUGGCUCCCCUAGAGAGCACAAACACUGUCAUGACAUUGCCUUGGAAGCCUACACAACAUCAUUUCUGUCAUCUCAGACUCAGGGGAAGAGAAAGAGAUGCCACCACUUGAUGGGAGGAAAGACAAAGUCUCUUUGCAAAAAUCCUGCAAGGUGGGAGACGGAGAUAUUGUCAUCUUUGGAAACAGUCUACUGCUGGGUUCUUUAAUGAUGUUUCAUUCCUGAAGUUACAGAUAAAGCUAUUUCAAUGCACUCCUGCUUAGCAGACAGCCUAGUGAGUAUACUCUAAGGAUAUCUUUUUCUGCCUGUGCACAGAGAAGAGGCAAUGAGAAGACACAGCAAGAAGGCAACCAACUGCAAGCCAGGAAGAGAGCCUUCACCAGAAUCCAACCCUGACAGGAUCUUGAUCCCAGACCUCCAGCCUUCAGUCUGUGAUAUUUUGUUCUGGCAGCCUGAACAACCUAAUACACAGUCUUAAGAGGUAGAUAUCAUCCCCAUUUAUAGAUGAAGAAACUGAGGCACAGAGGGUUUGACUUUACUAAGAUUGACAGGUAGUAAGCCACUCUGAGCAUGUCCUGGAUGUAGUGCCAUCCUCUGUAAUGCACCAUCCAAUGAGACCAGGAACCAACUGGGCCUUCACUUGACCAAAGGAUGAUAUAUAGGCCUAUCAUUGAUAUGCUAGUGUGAGCAACAAAUGCCAGAACCAGAUGAUACCAGUUGCAAACAGUAGACCACAGCCAGGAGAGACCAUUUCAUGUCAUGACAUCACCAUCUUGUUUGAGCGAAUGCUGCAGCUGCCAUUGUGGGGCAUUGCUUGGGACCAUGUCCUGGCAUGUGGGAAAUUACAACUACUGACCCAAUCAAGGAACUCAAUUCACCCUCCUCAAUAUACAGGAUUGGCUGCAUCUCUGGACACAAUCUGGACUUUCUACCCAUUGUACCAUCUGUAAGAGGCAGUGGGGUAAAUAAAAUAUAGAAAUUAAAAAGAAGGCCAAAGUAUCACUUGACAUUAGCAUAAAGUAAGUCAAAUCAAUAAAAAGACAACUCAAAAAUA